rnacentral:lncRNA from 1 species
CCCACCCCUCCGGGGCAGGGCUACUCGCAGCAGGGCAGCCAGCCCUACGGCCAGCAGAGCUACAGCGGCUACAGCCAGUCCACCGACACCUCGGGCUACGGCCAGAACAGCUACAGCUCCUCCUACGGCCAGACCCAGAGCAGCUACAGCACCCAGUCCACCCCCCAAGCCUACGGCAGCACCGGCGGUUACGGCAGCGGGCAGAGCUCGCAGACCUCCUACGGGCAACCUUCCUCCUACCCCAGCUACUCCCAGCCGCCGGCGGCCAGCUCCUCCACCGGCAGCUAUGGGAGUGGCUCGCAAAGCUCCAGCUACGGGCAGCCCCCCAGCGGGGGGUACAACCAGCAGUCCAGCUACAGCGGGCAGCAGCAGAGCUACAGCCAGCAGUCCUCCUACAACCCCCCCCAGAGCUACAGCCAGCAGAGCCAGUACAACAGCGGCGGCGGCAGCGCCUGUGAGCACGGGGGGUUGCUCUUCUUUGGGGGGGGGGCCUGAAAUCCCGCCCUUUGGGGGCCCAGAUUUGUGCCUUUUGUUCCCUGUGUUUGGGGUCCCCCGAUUU